rnacentral:rRNA from 1 species
CCGCGGCAAGACGGAAAGACCCCGUGAACCUUUACUAUAGCUUGACACUGAACAUUGAGCCUUGAUGUGUAGGAUAGGUGGGAGGCUUUGAAGUGUGGACGCCAGUCUGCAUGGAGCCGACCUUGAAUACCACCCUUUAAUGUUUGAUGUUCUAACGUUGGCCCGUAAUCCGGGUUGCGGACAGUGUCUGGUGGGUAGUUUGACUGGGGCGGUCUCCUCCUAAAGAGUAACGGAGGAGCACGAAGGUUGGCU